UACGAAGGGUGCAAACGUUGCUCGGAAUUAUUGGGCGUAAAGCGCACGUAGGCGGCAUUGCAAGUCGGAUGUGAAAUCUUAUGGCUUAACCAUAAAAGUGCAUCCGAAACUGCAGUGCUUGAGUACUUAAGAGGAUCGCGGAAUUCCCGGUGUAGAGGUGAAAUGCGUAGAUAUCGGGAAGAACACCAGUGGCGAAGGCGCUCUACUGGGCCACAACUGACGCUGAGGGACGAAAGCUAGGGGAGCGAAAGGG
rnacentral:rRNA from 1 species